rnacentral:rRNA from 1 species
UACGGAGGAUGCGAGCGUUAUCCGGAUUUAUUGGGUUUAAAGGGUGCGUAGGCGGUCCGUUAAGUCAGCGGUAAAAUUGCGGGGCUCAACCCCGUCGAGCCGUUGAAACUGGCAGACUUGAGUUGGCGAGAAGUACGCGGAAUGCGCGGUGUAGCGGUGAAAUGCAUAGAUAUCGCGCAGAACUCCGAUAGCGAAGGCAGCUUACCAGACUGCGACUGACGCUGAAGCACGAGAGCGUGGGUAGCGAACAGG